GGUUCGGUUUCAUUUGUUUUGUGGAAAAAAAAAAGUCACGCGAUGGAGAUUUUGGAGAGAAGUGCGUUGAUAAAAAAAGGCAUGAAUUGGAAAGGGGUUUACCCACAGAAUCGCUCUCACUCGCUCAAAGCGCUCUUUGUGCGAGUGGGUACGAAAUAGAGCCUUCUGAUUGGCUUAGAAACUC
rnacentral:sRNA from 1 species